rnacentral:rRNA from 1 species
CAGAUAUGGCGGGGGCCUAACACAUGCAAGUCGAACGUAAAAGUGUACCAGGCCAUGUGUAAAGUGGGGUGCGCGCCUUUUAAAAGGCGUAGUCCUGUCUCGGAGGAGGGGGAAAACACCUUUGAAAAAGAGGGUAUAUUCCCUUGAAAUCCUGCUGAUGGAAAGCAGCAUUGCACCGAUGGGGGACUCCCCUCCCGAUAAUCUGGUAGGUGCGGGUAGUGCCAUAAGAUGGUUGGGGGCGGAAGGGGGCUUGACAGGGAAGACGGGCACCCUGGCUGUGAUGCGCAACGGCCACUCUUACUGUGGGAAGCAGUGGAGAAUCUUGCAGGAGGGGGGAAACCUUAAUGGUUCGCCGUGGCCGGAAGCAUGAUGACCCACCGCGUGUAGGAUU